GAUAUCUACCACACAGGAAUUUUUGUCUUUGCUUAUGUUAUAUGCUUGAACCCAUAAUAGACAAUUUUAUGAAAUAGUUCUGAGGUUAAGAGAAAGUAUAAAAAACAAGGUCAGAAAUCCUCAGCACGGACACCACCAUUUGUCUCCUGCUCUCAUUACAGAUAUAGAUCAUCUAGGAUCACAGACUCACCUCUGAGCUUUGUUGUGGUUCCCAACACACACUACCCCAACCAGCCACUAACUGUCAGAUUUCAAAUUAAGAUAAAAUAGAUUCUGUCUUCAUUGCAGAAAGUUAAUUCUCAAGGGAAGAAUGUUUGGAAUCAGCUCUAAAGAUAGUUUACUAAUUUAUAAUUCUUUGAAUAUGUUUAUUUUCUUUUUUAAAAAAAGUUAUUUGAAAGAAUUAUCUCUAAUAAUUUUGUUAUUCUUAGGGAAGAAUGCUUCAAAAUCUUCCUCAGGUAUUCGUUACCAUUUAACUCAUAACAAGUUUAGAUUGUAUAAUCACAAAAAUUAUUUGCUUUUAUUUAAUUCAAUAAACUAAAGGAACCGUUUAAAGGGAGAAGUAGUGUAAUAUAUAUAAUGCAUGGAUUAAAAUGAAUUAUUAUUUUAAGGUUUAAUCGGGCUAAUUUUUUUGACUGUAUAGAAACCAAAUCUUUCUUUUACUACUCUCUUUUUAAGGACUGAUAUUAUAAAAAACUACUGUUAUUAAUGUUGAUCUCAGUUCUAUAUUAAUUUUUUUGUUUUAAGAGUACAAUUUAAAAAUGACUAUUUUGUUAUAUAAAAUAGUUAACUUUCAUCUUAUAAGAGCAUGCACAG
rnacentral:lncRNA from 1 species